rnacentral:rRNA from 1 species
AGUGCUAAAAGAAUGGAUUAUCAAAAAAUUUCUUUCUUUAAUUUAAAAGUUGAAGUUAUUUUUAUUUGUGAAGAAACAAUAAUAAAAAUUAAGGACAAGAAGACCCUAUGAAUUUUUUAACAAAUUUUAUUUAAAGUUUAAUUAAAAUUUGUUUAAUUGGGGCGAUUUUAAAAUAUUUAAAACUUUUUUUAAAAAAUAAAUGAUCCAUUAAUAAUGAUUAAAUGAAAUAAAUACUCUAGGGAUAACAGCG